AACUUUCUCACAAAACUCUUAGACGUUGCCGUGUAAUAUUUAAGUCUGACAACGUAUGAAAUAUUGAGAUUUUAAUUAAAAAUCAAAUAUUGGCACUUCUUUCGUUACCUAUAAAUAAUAAUAAUAAUAUCCCCCCUCCAGACGAGGGUCCCUGUGGUCUCGCUCUCCGUCGUCCUGCUGAUCGUCUUCGCCUCCAUCUUCCUCUUCCUCGCCUUCAGACGCGGAGUGCACAGACGAGCCUUCAGCGGCGGGUGCUUCUCGGAGGAGGAGGAGCCUCCGCACAUCAUCUACGAGAUCCGGCUGAGGAGGCCUCUGCAGGAGAACGUCUACACGCUGGAUUAAAAUCAUUCGUAUUUAAUAAAAAGCAACAAAACCUCUCAGA